AACGAACGCUGGCGGCAGGCUUAACACAUGCAAGUCGAGCGCCCCGCAAGGGGAGCGGCAGACGGGUGAGUAACGCGUGGGAACGUACCCUUUGCUACGGAAUAGCUCCGGGAAACUGGAAUUAAUACCGUAUGUGCCCUACGGGGGAAAGAUUUAUCGGCAAAGGAUCGGCCCGCGUUGGAUUGGCUAGUUGGUGGGGUAAUGGCCUACCAAGGCGACGAUCCAUAGCUGGUCUGAGAGGAUGAUCAGCCACAUUGGAACUGAGACUCGGCCCAAUCUCCUACGGGAGGCAUCAGGGGUGAAUCUUGCACAAUGGGCGCAAGCCUUAUCCAGCCAUGCCGCGUGAGUGAUGAAGGCCUUAGGGUUGUAAAGCUCUUUCACCGGAUAAGAUAAUGACGGUAUCCGGAGAAGAAGCCCCGGCUAACUUCGUGCCAGCAGCCGCGGUAACAC
rnacentral:rRNA from 1 species